rnacentral:rRNA from 1 species
UACGAAGGGGGUUAGCGUUGUUCGGAAUCACUGGGCGUAAAGCGCACGUAGGCGGAUUUUUAAGUCAGGGGUGAAAUCCCGAGGCUCAACCUCGGAACUGCCUUUGAUACUGGAGAUCUUGAGUCCGGAAGAGGUAAGUGGAACUGCGAGUGUAGAGGUGAAAUUCGUAGAUAUUCGCAAGAACACCAGUGGCGAAGGCGGCUUACUGGUCCGUAACUGACGCUGAGGUGCGAAAGCGUGGGGAGCAAACAGG